rnacentral:misc_RNA from 1 species
AACGCACAUUGCGCCCGCUAGUAUUCUGGCGGGCAUGCCUGUUCGAGCGUCAUUUCAACCAUCAAGCGCCUGCGCUUGUGUUGGAGCCCUGCGGCUGCCGCAGGCUCCCAAACCCAGUGGCGGGCUCGUCGUCGUACCGAGUGCAGUAAACUUACCACGCUCAGGGCACGCGACGGGUGACCGGCCGUAAAACCUCCCCCUUCUCAAGGUUGACCUCGGAUCAGGUAGGAAUACCCGCUGAACUUAA